AACGUAGGGGGCAAGCGUUGUCCGGAUUUAUUGGGCGUAAAGAGCUCGUAGGCGGUUUGUUGCGUCGGCUGUGAAAUCCCGAGGCUCAACCCUCGGGUCUGCAGUCGAUACGAGCAAACUAGAGUGUUGCAGGGGAGACUGGAAUUCCUGGUGUAGCGGUGAAAUGCGCAGAUAUCAGGAGGAACACCGGUGGCGAAGGCGGGUCUCUGGGCAACAACUGACGCUGAGGAGCGAAAGCGUGGGGAGCGAACAGG
rnacentral:rRNA from 1 species